GAGCGGGCGUAGCAAUACGUCAGCGGCAGACGGGUGAGUAACGCGUGGGAACGUACCUUUUGGUUCGGAACAACACAGGGAAACUUGUGCUAAUACCGGAUAAGCCCUUACGGGGAAAGAUUUAUCGCCGAAAGAUCGGCCCGCGUCUGAUUAGCUAGUUGGUGAGGUAACGGCUCACCAAGGCGACGAUCAGUAGCUGGUCUGAGAGGAUGAUCAGCCACAUUGGGACUGAGACACGGCCCAAACUCCUACGGGAGGCAGCAGUGGGGAAUAUUGGACAAUGGGCGCAAGCCUGAUCCAGCCAUGCCGCGUGAGUGAUGAAGGCCCUAGGGUUGUAAAGCUCUUUUGUGCGGGAAGAUAAUGACGGUACCGCAAGAAUAAGCCCCGGCUAACUUCGUGCCAGCAGCCGCGGUAAUACGAAGGGGGCUAGCGUUGCUCGGAAUCACUGGGCGUAAAGGGUGCGUAGGCGGGUCUUUAAGUCAGGGGUGAAAUCCUGGAGCUCAACUCCAGAACUGCCUUUGAUACUGAAGAUCUUGAGUUCGGGAGAGGUGAGUGGAACUGCGAGUGUAGAGGUGAAAUUCGUAGAUAUUCGCAAGAACACCAGUGGCGAAGGCGGCUCACUGGCCCGAUACUGACGCUGAGGCACGAAAGCGUGGGGAGCAAACA
rnacentral:rRNA from 1 species